GGAUGGGGCCCACAGUCCCCCUGCAGCGCCUGGUGCCCACAGCCCCCAACACCUAUUGCUUGGGCUGAGACCCUCUGAUGUCUAGAAUUUAAUUAACAACAAAUUCUCAUGAUGAAACUCUUGCAUAAUGGAAACACAAACAACUGAUUGGAACCAGGAACAGGUGUAUGAGUCACCUGCUUAGGAGUAUUAACAGGAAGCCCAAAAAAACCCCCAAGAAACCUGAUCAGCAUGCUGAGGAAGAAGGCACAUGGAAGAAAAAUCAAGCAAUCAAACACACUAGGGUUCUACUGACCCUGGGGAAAUCCAAUAUUUCAAAAGUGAGAUUCUGAAAUAGUUUAGAUUUCAAACUUUGAUUCUUCUGAAUACAGAUUUCAAAUGUAAGUGAUGUUCAAAGUCUCUGAGGUGCCCCCAGGUCUUGUCAGUCCUUCCUUCCUUUCUUCCUUGUUGAAGGAAGAAGCUGAGGCAGAAUUGAUGUAGAGACUGUGCGUGGGCUAAAGUUGAGGACAGCAAGACACACUUCCACAUUGCCUUGCACGAAGGCAGCUUUGACAUUGCGAGACAAUGAACACACAAACAGAAAACAGCCAGACCAAAUAUGGGAAGAGAACUCUGAGCCACAGCGACUGUCCAGAGGCCAAACCUCAACUUUCACGGCUAGCCAGAAGCUUUCUGCCCAGGCCAACCAGUUUGAAGAGCCCCACAGAGGAAGUGAACCAGCAUGAGAAUACAGCAUCUUCAACCCCACCCCAUGACUCCACCCUGCUUCACCCUGCACUUCUCCACCGGCUUUUCCCCGGCUCUGCCCCCGCCUGCUGAGGAAUCUCGGUCAACACAAGAGAGGACGGCGACUCCCUUGUACAGCAAGUCCUGAAUAAAUCGUCUUUUGUUCUCAUUUGCGUGGGCUUUAUUUCCACAGCUGUUAUCCUCCUAUUUGUAAAACGGAGGCACCUGGGACCAGCUCCAGCAAGGAGAGUGAGGAUCCGACUCCAGGAAGCACCUCAGGAACAAAGGCCUCAAGGCCAACACCUUCCACGGCACAAGCCCAACAGAGCUGCAGGAACCGUACAAGCAGCGGGAACAUCCCUUUCUCUUCUUGACUAUGUUUUCCCCUGAUGCUUUGCUUUCCACAUAGAAGAGUUUUCCAUUUUCGUGGGGUCAACUCUGCCUUCACUCAUUCAACAAUGAUGGGGGGCUCUGCCCCGCUCCCCCCAGGCUUCAACCACACCUGACUGCCCACCCCUUUGGGCCCUUCCCUGAAGUGACAGACCAGGCUGUGCCCUGGCAGGUAAGAGAAAGGACCCCACAACCCAUUCAUGGGCCGCUCCAGCUGGGGCCUUGCAUGCAGGAGCGGACCAGUCCCCCUGAGGGACAGCCCUUGGGUGGGGGCUCUGGGUCAUUUUGAGGAGUCAAUCACACCAACAGGUGCCUAGCACAGGCCCCACCCCCACCCCAAAUAAGGCAAGCGACCCUUCCCUUCCGCAGGUGGUCCAGUCUAACAGAAACCCUAAACCAAAGGGACUGUGUGGUGGCUCAAGCCUGUCAUCCCAGCACUUUGGGGGAUGGAUCGAUUUUAGCCUAGGAGUUCAAGACCAGCCUGGGCAAUAUAGUGAGACUCCAUCUCUACAAAAACACUUUUUAAAAAAAUUAGGGGUGCAGUGGUUUAUGCCAAUAAUCCCAGCACUUUGGGAGGCCGAGGUGGACAGAUCGCUCAGAAGUUCCAGACCAGCCUGGGUAACAUGGUGAAACUCUCUGUCUCUAUAUAUGUGUGUGGUAGGGUGGGCCUGUGGUCCCAGCUACUAUAGCAGCUGAGGUGGGAAGAUCGCUUGAGCCCAGGAGGUCCAGGCUGCAAUGAGUUGUGAUCAGGCCACUGCACCCCAGCCUGGCCAACAGAGCAAGACUCUGUCAAAAAAAAAAAAAAGAAAGAAAGAAAAGAGGUCAGGUACGGUGGCUCACGCCUGUAAUUCCAGCACUUUGGGAGCCCGAGGCAGGUGGAUCACGAGGUCAGGAGUUCGAGACCAGCCUGGCCAAUAUGGUGAAACCCCGUCUCUACUAAAAACACAAAAAUUAGCUGCGCAUGAAGGCGCGCGCCUGUAGUCCCAGCUACUCGGGAGGCCGAGGCAGGAGAAUGGUGUGAACCCCGGAGGCGGAGCUUGCAGUGAGCCGAGAUUGCGCCACUGCACUCCAGCCUAGGCGACAGAUCCAGACUCCGUCUCAAAA
rnacentral:lncRNA from 1 species